rnacentral:lncRNA from 1 species
UAAAAAUAUCCCAUCCAUUUUCAACACUCCAGAGCCAACAACAACGCAAGAACCUUUGGUGGGCAGCCAAAAGAGAAAAGCAAGGAAAACCAAGAUUACACACCUUGUCAGGACAGCAGAUGGCCGGGUAUCACCAGCAGGAGGUACUUUGGAUGACAAACCAAAGGAACAACUGCAGAGGAGUCUCCCUAAAGCAACUGAGACAGACUGCAAUGACAAAUGCUCACACAACACCGAGGUCGGGGAGACGCGGAGCAGUACUCCAGAAAUGCCUGCCGUGUCUGCGUUCUUUAGCCUCGCUGCGCUGGCUGAAGUGGCAGCCAUGGAAAAUGUGCACAGAGGUCAGAGGUCAACUCCGCUCACCCAUGAUGGACAGCCAAAAGAAAUGCCGCAGGCUCCUGUACUUAUUUCCUGCGCUGACCAGUGAAGCGCCCUUUCAUUGUAAAACAUUGUGCUUUACCUACUACCCUAGCCUUGUCUUUACCGAGGGAUGCUAGUGAGUCCAAGUGGUGGAAAAUAUAGACUGCAAACAAGUGCUUGUUGCCCCACACGGCCCAGAUUCACUUGAAGCAGAAGUUAGCAUCCUGGGCCAGUUUGUUCUCUCAGAACCCAGAAUCUUUGAGGGUAAGGUUAUCUGUCUGAUACUGAGCAGAAACAGAAUGAUCCUGGAGCUUUGCUUUCUAUUGAAGGCUUUUGACGGUAAUAGGUGGUAACUUGGUAAAAGGCUGCCUUUACUGUAGCUCACCCAGCAUCUCUUUUACCAACCAGAGAGUGUGAAACUAGUUUCAUAUAUUACCUAGUUAUUCUUUC